AGAGUUUGAUCAUGGCUCAGAACGAACGCUGGCGGCAGGCUUAACACAUGCAAGUCGAGCGCUCAGCAAUGAGAGCGGCGCACGGGUGAGUAACACGUGGGAACGUGCCCUUUGGUUCGGAAUAACUCAGGGAAACUUGAGCUAAUACCGGAUAAGCCCUUACGGGGAAAGAUUUAUCGCCAUUGGAGCGGCCCGCGUCCGAUUAGCUAGUUGGUGAGGUAAAGGCUCACCAAGGCAACGAUCGGUAGCUGGUCUGAGAGGACGACCAGCCACACUGGGACUGAGACACGGCCCAGACUCCUACGGGAGGCAGCAGUGGGGAAUCUUGGACAAUGGGGGAAACCCUGAUCCAGCCAUGCCGCGUGAGUGAUGAAGGCCCUAGGGUUGUAAAACUCUUUCGGCGGGGACGAUAAUGACGGUACCCGCAGAAGAAGCUCCGGCUAACUUCGUGCCAGCAGCCGCGGUAAUACGAAGGGGGCUAGCGUUGUUCGGAAUUACUGGGCGUAAAGCGCGCGCAGGCGGUUCUUCAAGUCAGAGGUGAAAGCCCAGAGCUCAACUCUGGAAUGGCCUUUGAGACUAGAGAACUUGGGUACGGGAGAGGUGAGUGGAAUUCCGAGUGUAGAGGUGAAAUUCGUAGAUAUUCGGAAGAACACCAGUGGCGAAGGCGGCUCACUGGCCCGUUACCGACGCUCAGGCGCGACAGCGUGGGGAGCAAACAGGAUUAGAUACCCUAGUAGUCC
rnacentral:rRNA from 1 species